UACGAAGGGGGCUAGCGUUGCUCGGAAUCACUGGGCGUAAAGGGUGCGUAGGCGGGGCUUUAAGUCAGGGGUGAAAUCCUGGAGCUCAACUCCAGAACUGCCUUUGAUACUGAGGAUCUUGAGUUCGGGAGAGGUGAGUGGAACUGCGAGUGUAGAGAUGAAAUUCGUAGAUAUUCGCAAGAACACCAGUGGCGAAGGCGGCUCACUGGCCCGGUACUGACGCUGAGGUGCGAAAGCGUGGGGAGCAAACAGG
rnacentral:rRNA from 1 species